GAGAUAAAUAACGAGAAUAAAGAAUCUAAAGUUUUGUGUUCCUCCACAAAAUAUGUUAAAAUUUUAUCCGUCCAAUGUAAAGUUUGUGGUAAACUUGUGAAACGGACUUCAUUAGUUGCUCAUGAACGCACUCAUACAAACGAGUGCCCAUUUUUGUGCCAUUUUUGUCCCAAAUUCCGGCAAGCGAGCGCCUUGACGGCUCAUCUUCGCAUUCAUUCUGAGGAGAAACCGUAUACAUGCAACUUUUGUA